CACACGUGUAAAUAUAGACUUUACUUAUCUUAUUUAUAUAGGAUGUAGCUAGGAUUUGGUGUAUUAUAUAAACGGACACCACGAAAGCCACGAAUAUCUACGCUGUCUUGGUUGAUUUGGCCAAGAGAUGUUAUUUACUACUCGAGAAUUGUAUACGUAUUAUACUAGAACCCUCGACAUUUCCACCAUCUUCGAGGCGUGGUACAGAUAAACCACAAAUAAACUACAAAACAACGAAACGAUAAAACGAGACAAGAUCUCUCGAACUGUGUAGUCUUAAACAAGAAGAAAUCAAGAUGGGGGAAAGGAGAUUAUGGUGUUGUUCAACCGUGACGUUUUAGAAGCAGCAUGUAGGACUAGAAGAUAAGGUGGAAGAAUGCAUAUCAUGCUCUGUUUGCUCAAGAUAGUUUACAGUCUUCGUAAUAGGUCUAUUUUUAUGACUAACGUUGCCACCUGCAGCAUUCUGAUGACACUAUCCUUUUAUUACAGGAAUAAACCUCUAUGAUAUAUCUUCUUUGAUAUAGGUGAAAGAAUGCAUGUCAUACUUAUUUUUUUUUUAUUAAGAUAGUCAAAAGUCUUCACAAUGGGUCUAUUUUUAUGACAAACGGUGCCACAUUGCAGCAUUCUGACACUAUUCUAUUAUUACAGGAAUAAACCUCUAUGAUUUAGGUCCAAAUAUGUUAUUGAAUUUGCAAUUGGUUUAUCUGGUGUGUUAUUUCUAAUAUUAGCGAGGCAGACUUUAUACGAUUAGUAAUAAAGCAAGCCCUACAAGAUCAAAUUCCGCGUAAGCGGAAGUCGAUUGGUUAACGUAUAUUAGUUUCGUUUAUUCUUUAUAUAUCAAGUGUCAACACUGACCAAGGUGUACUUGUAUAUAUCUAAACAUUUGUAUACAAGCAUAUCGAAACUUUUAGUUUUCAUCCAAAUCAUAGUUCUCCUGUCUUUCUUACUAUGACAACUGUAUAUUUACAUUUUAUAUUCUUUGUGGAUUUUUAAAAAUAUUUAUUCAACAUACAUAAUAUUUUACAUAGGAUUAUAUGUCAUGCAAUGAAGGUCGAUAGGUCACCGUGAAAGUCAAUAAAAUAAAAAGGAAGCUUAUUUAUAUA